GGGUCCGUAGGUUGGUCGUGCCACCGGUACGUACUGGUCUCACUGAUUCCUCCUUCCUGAAGAACCGUAAUGCCAUUAAUUUGGUGUUGCGGGGAAACAGGACUGUUACUUUGAAAAAAUUAGAGCGUUUAAAGCAAGCUAACGCUUGAAUACAUUAGCAUGGAAUAAUGAAAUAGGACGAUCGAUCCUAUUUUGUUGGUUUCUAGGAUUGACGUA
rnacentral:rRNA from 1 species